UCUAACAUGUGCGCGAGUCACUGGGAUAGACUAAACCCAGAGGCGCAGUGAAAGCGUUGGGGUCGCAUCGACGGUAAUUUAUUACCGCUUGCUUGCGANCCCNCAGAANGGAAAACGGCCUGCCGUACCCGACCGGUGCGGCGGGUCAGCACUCCCGGGGCGCCUCGCACUCCCGGGGCGCCUCNGCUUCGGCCGCAGGCGCACCCUGAGCGCACACGUUGGGACCCGAAAGAUGGUGAACUAUGCCCGGCCAGGACAAAGUCAGGGGAAACCCUGAUGGAGGUCCGCAGCGAUUCUGACGUGCAAAUCGAUCGUCAGAACUAGGUAUAGGGGCGAAAGACUAAUCGAACCAUCUAGUAGCUGGU
rnacentral:rRNA from 1 species